rnacentral:rRNA from 1 species
AGUGAACGCUGGCGGUAGGCCUAACACAUGCAAGUCGAACGGCAGCACAGUAAGAGCUUGCUCUUACGGGUGGCGAGUGGCGGACGGGUGAGGAAUACAUCGGAAUCUACUUUUUCGUGGGGGAUAACGUAGGGAAACUUACGCUAAUACCGCAUACGACCUACGGGUGAAAGCAGUGGAUCUUCGGACCUUGCGCGAUUGAAUGAGCCGAUGUCGGAUUAGCUAGUUGGCGGGGUAAAGGCCCACCAAGGCGACGAUCCGUAGCUGGUCUGAGAGGAUGAUCGGCCACACUGGAACUGAGACACGGUCAAGACUCCUACGGGAGGCAGCAGUGGGGAAUAUUGGACAAUGGGCGCAAGCCUGAUCCAGCCAUACCGCGUGGGUGAAGAAGGCCUUCGGGUUGUAAAGCCCUUUUGUUGGGAAAGAAAAGCAGCAGGUUAAUACCCCGCUGUUCUGACGGUACCCAAUGAAUAAGCACCGGCUAACUUCGUG